rnacentral:rRNA from 1 species
CAAGAUUAGCUAGUUGGUGAGGUAAAGGCUCACCAAGGCUACGAUCUUUAGCUGGUUUGAGAGGAUGAUCAGCCACACUGGAACUGAGACACGGUCCAGACUCCUACGGGAGGCAGCAGUUAGGAAUUUUCCACAAUGGGCGAAAGCCUGAUGGAGCAACGCCGCGUGCAGGACGAAGGCCUUCGGGUUGUAAACUGCUUUUAUACGUGACGAAUAUGACGGUAGCGUAUGAAUAAGGAUCGGCUAACUCCGUG